rnacentral:rRNA from 1 species
GAGAGUUAAAUAGUACGUGAAAUUGUUGAAAGGGAAACGAUUGAAGUCAGUCAUGCUAGUGAAAAAUCAGUUUGACGGGUUUUGAGUUCGGGAGUGGAGGCAGGGUCAAACCGUUUCUCUUUUGAACUUGGGAUUUGUUAGAUGUACUUUUUCUUUGGCAGGUCAGCGUCGAUUUCGGAGGUUGUAAAAUACUCGGGGAAAAGUAGCUCUGCUUCGGGAGAGUGUUAUAGACCUUGGGUGAUGCGGCCUGCGGGAUCGAGGAUUGCAGCAAAUGCUUUUGGCUUGUCGCCUGAUCUCUGGACGUCAUCUCGCUUGUAUCAACAUUCUUGGUACCGGUGAGUAAUGGUGCUCAUAGGUUAGAGCGAUCAAAAAUUUUGCUAAGGAUGCUGACGUAAUGGCUUUAAACGA